rnacentral:misc_RNA from 1 species
GGACUCCUCUUUCCCUUUAAAUCAAAACCCUGGAACUUUCAAUUUUGCUGUGCUGAAACCCUUACUUCCGAUUUCUCUUGCUGCUUCAAUAACCUCCUUUUCGUCGAUCUCUCGAUCAAUCAGUACUUUUUCCAAAUUAUUAGCAAUCAUGUCGUUGAGGCCAAGCGCGAGGACCGAGGUUCGCAGGAAUAGGUAUAAGGUUGCCGUCGAUGCUGAGGAGAGUCGCCGGAGGCGAGAAGACAACAUGGUGGAAAUUCGGAAGAAUCGUCGGGAGGAAAGCUUGCAGAAGAAGCGGCGUGAAGGCCUCCAAACCCAGCCCAUGCCAGCUGCAAUUCAUUCCUCUGCUGUAGAGAAGAGGUUAGAGCAUUUACCAUCGAUGGUUGCUGGUGUUUGGUCUGAUGAUAGUAAUUUGCUGCUUGAGGCAACCACUCAGUUCAGGAAGUUGCUCUCAAUUGAACGUAGCCCUCCAAUUGAGGAAGUCAUACAGGCUGGUGUUGUUCCCCGCUUUGUUGAGUUUCUUAUGAGGGAGGACUUUCCUCAGCUUCAGUUUGAAGCAGCUUGGGCACUCACAAACAUUGCUUCUGGGACGUCUGAGAAUACUAGGGUGGUAAUU